UACAGAGGUCUCAAGCGUUGUUCGGAUUCAUUGGGCGUAAAGGGCGCGUAGGCGGCGCGGUAAGUCGGGUGUGAAAUUUCGAGGCUUAACUUCGAAACUGCAUUCGAUACUGCCGUGCUUGAGGACUGGAGAGGAGACUGGAAUUUACGGUGUAGCGGUGAAAUGCGUAGAUAUCGUAAGGAAGACCAGUGGCGAAGGCGGGUCUCUGGACAGUUCCUGACGCUGAGGCACGAAGGCCAGGGGAGCAAACGGG
rnacentral:rRNA from 1 species